rnacentral:rRNA from 1 species
AUUGAACGCUGGCGGCAUGCCUUACACAUGCAAGUCGAACGGCAGCGGGGACUUCGGUCCGCCGGCGAGUGGCGAACGGGUGAGUAACGUAUCGGAACGUACCUUUCAGUGGGGGAUAACGUAGCGAAAGUUACGCUAAUACCGCAUAUUCUGUGAGCAGGAAAGCAGGGGAUCGCAAGACCUUGCGCUGCUUGAGCGGCCGAUAUCAGAUUGGCUAGUUGGUAAGGUAAAGGCUCACCAAGGCGACGAUCUGUAGCGGGUCUGAGAGGAUGAUCCGCCACACUGGAACUGAGACACGGUCCAGACUCCUACGGGAGGCAGCAGUGGGGAAUUUUGGACAAUGGGGGCAACCCUGAUCCAGCCAUGCCGCGUGAGUGAAGAAGGCCUUCGGGUUGUAAAGCUCUUUCGGCCGGGAAGAAAUCGUAUGGGUUAAUACCCUGUGCGGAUGACGGUACCGGCAUAAGAAGCACCGGCUAACUACGUGCCAGCCGCCGCCGUAAAAC